rnacentral:rRNA from 1 species
CAGCAGCCGCGGUAAUACGAAGGGUGCAAGCGUUAAUUGGAAUUACUGGGCGUAAAGCGUGCGUAGGCGGUGAGUUAAGUCUGCUGUGAAAUCCCCGGGCUCAACCUGGGAAUGGCAGUGGAUACUGGCUCGCUAGAGUGUGUCAGAGGAUGGUGGAAUUCCCGGUGUAGCGGUGAAAUGCGUAGAGAUCGGGAGGAACAUCAGUGGCGAAGGCGGCCAUCUGGGACAACACUGACGCUGAGGCACGAAAGCGUGGGGAGCAAACAGGAUUAGAUACCCCAGUAGUCCCUGUCUCUUAUAC